rnacentral:rRNA from 1 species
CCUACGGGUGGCAGCAGUGGGGAAUAUUGGGCAAUGGGCGCAAGCCUGACCCAGCAACGCCGCGUGCAGGAAGAAGGCUUUCGGGUUGUAAACUUCUUUUCUCAGGGACGAAGAAAGUGACGGUACCUGAGGAAUAAGCCGAGGCUAACUACGUGCCAGCAGCCGAGGUAAUACGUGGGUGGCAGGCGUUAUCUGGAUUUGCUGGGUGUAAAGGGCGUGUAGGCGGGACGUCAAGUCAGAUGUGAAAACCACGGGCUCAACCUGUGGCCUGCAUUGGAAACUGUAGGUCUUGAGUACUGGAGAGGCAGACGGAAUUCCUAGUGUAGCGGUGAAAUGCGUAGAUAUUAGG